rnacentral:rRNA from 1 species
UACGUAGGUGACCAGCGUUGUCCGGAUUUACUGGGCGUAAAGAGCGCGCAGGCGGUCGUUCAAGUCGAGUGUGAAAGCCCCCGGCUCAACUGGGGAGGGUCACUCGAUACUGAUCGACUUGAAGGCAGGAGAGGGAAGCGGAUUUCCCGGUGUAGUGGUGAAAUGCGUAGAUAUCGGGAGGAACACCAGUGGCGAAGGCGGCUUCCUGGCCUGUUCUUGACGCUGAGGCGCGAAAGCUAGGGGAGCAAACGGA